CCUACGGGAGGCAGCAGUGGGGAAUAUUGCACAAUGGGGGAAACCCUGAUGCAGCGACGCCGCGUGAGUGAAGAAGUAUUUCGGUAUGUAAAGCUCUAUCAGCAGGGAAGAAAAUGACGGUACCUGAUUAAGAAGCCCCGGCUAACUACGUGCCAGCAGCCGCGGUAAUACGUAGGGGGCAAGCGUUAUCCGGAUUUACUGGGUGUAAAGGGAGCGUAGACGGCAUCACAAGUCUGGAGUGAAAUGCCGGGGCUUAACCCCGGAACUGCUUUGGAAACUGUGCACCUAGAGGGAAGGAGAGGUAAGUGGAAUUCCGAGUGUAGCGGUGAAAUGCGUAGAUAUUAGGAGGAACACCAGUGGCGAAGGCGGCUUACUGGACUGUAACUGACGGUGAGGCUCGAAAGCGUGGGGAGCAAACAGGAUUAGAUACCCUUGUAGUC
rnacentral:rRNA from 1 species